rnacentral:rRNA from 1 species
GUAGGGAAUAUUGGGCAAUGGUCGGAAGACUGACCCAGCCAUGCCGCGUGCAGGAAGACGGCCCUCUGGGUUGUAAACUGCUUUUAUCUGGGAAGAAAAAGGCCAUGCGUGGCAAAUUGCCGGUACCAGAUGAAUAAGCACCGGCUAACUCCGUGCCAGCAGCCGCGGUAAUACGGAGGGUGCGAGCGUUGUCCGGAUUUAUUGGGUUUAACGGGUGCGUAGGCGGCUGAUUAAGUCAGCGGUGAAAGACUUCGGCUUAACCGGAGCAGUGCCGUUGAUACUGGUUGGCUUGAGUGUCGGAGGGGUACAUGGAAUUGAUGGUGUAGCGGUGAAAUGCAUAGAUACCAUCAGGAACACCGAUAGCGAAGGCAUUGUACUGGCCGACAACUGACGCUGAUGCACGAAAGUGUGGGGAUCGAACAGGAUUAGAAACCCCUGUAGUCC